rnacentral:tRNA from 1 species
GCCCUUAGCUCAGUUGGUUAGAGUGUGGUCUGAUAACACCAAGGUUGCAGGUUCAAUUCCCACAUGGGACA